GACGAACGCUGGCGGCGUGCUUAACACAUGCAAGUCGAACGGAGUGGCGAACGGGUGAGUAUUACGUGAGUAACCUGCCCUCAACUGUGGGAUAAGCCUGGGAAACUGGGUCUAAUACUGCAUAGUUGGGGAUGGGCUCGCGGCCUAUCAGCUUGUUGGGGGGGUGAUGGCCUACCAAGGCGGUGAGGGGUAGCCGGCGUGGGAGGGUGGUCGGGCAGAGUGGACCCGCGAUACGGCCCGGGCUCCCACGGGGGGCAGCAGUGGGGGAUGUUGCACAAUGUGCGCAAGCCUGUUGCAGCGAGGCCGCGUGGGGUUUGAGGGCUUACGGGUUGUUAACCUCUUUCGAUACAGAACGGGUAUGUGCAGAAGAAGCGCCGGCUAACUACGUGCCAGCAGCCGCGGUAAUUC
rnacentral:rRNA from 1 species